rnacentral:rRNA from 1 species
CACGUAGGGGACGAGCGUUGUCCGGAUUCAUUGGGCGUAAAGGGCGCGUAGGCGGCCAUUCAAGUCGGAGGUGAAAGCCCAGGGCUCAACCCUGGAAUUGCCUUCGAUACUGUCUGGCUAGAGACCGGAAGAGGUAAGUGGAACUGCGAGUGUAGAGGUGAAAUUCGUAGAUAUUCGCAAGAACACCAGUGGCGAAGGCGGCUUACUGGUCCGGUUCUGACGCUGAGGCGCGAAAGCGUGGGGAGCAAACAGG